GAAGACAAGAAAUUUCAAGGAUCAGAGGGAGGAUGGCCAGGAGCAGCCGAAUACAACCAACAAACCAAGAAGAUUGGUUCUUAGCAUGCCUUCCAAAUGCCUAGGACAGGAUAAAGAAAACAUUCAGCAAAGAGAAGUUGAAGGGGUAAUCCAGGAUGAGAAAAUCAGAGCUGAUUUCUUCUGAAAACUGCACCACCUCUGUCCUAAUGUUGUGUGUGAUAUCGCUGCUCAGUUCUUCAAAAGUGAAUGGAGAAAACUAGUAAUACUACAUACAACAUGAGGACAGGUAUGGUGCUGUUUUUGGAAACAAAUAGCUCUGUUUUCUAUUCCCUUUUAACAAACUCCUAGGAUGCAGCAACAUUCAUCUGAUGGACGGCACAGCAAAGAAGACAAGAAAUUUCAAGGAUCAGAGGGAGGAUGGCCAGGAGCAGCCGAAUACAACCAACAAACCAAGAAGAUUGGUUCUUAGCAUGCCUUCCAAAUGCCUAGGACAGGAUAAAGAAAACAUUCAGCAAAGAGAAGUUGAAUGGGUAAUCCAGGAUGAGAAAAUCAGAGCUGAUUUCUUCUGAAAACUGCACCACCUCUGUCCUAAUGUUGUGUGUGAUAUCGCUGCCCAGUUCUUCAAAAGUGAAUGGAGAAAACUAGUAAUACUACAUACAACAUGAGGACAGGUAUGGUGCUGUUUUUGGAAACAAAUAGCUCUGUUUUCUAUUCCCUUUUAACAAACUCCUAGGAUGCAGCAACAUUCAUCUGAUGGACGGCACAGGUGUUGUGUCAACUGUGUCCCUCUAUAUAUACCAGCUGAGUUCUACUACAUAAAUGGCAUAAGUGACUGUUUGGAUGAGCGCUGCCCGUUUUAUAAUUAUUUUCUUAUGUAAUGAACAGAGUCUUGUCCUUCUGGAUCUAUUUACUGGGGGGGUAUUCAUCAAGAGUGGUGUAGGUGUACGUCUCU